rnacentral:miRNA from 1 species
GUAAGUUUGGAGUGCCUGGGCUA